rnacentral:lncRNA from 1 species
GUAAUUAUUUUCAAAAUAUAGAUAUCUAGUGUAUAAUAUAAAUAGGGAUAGAUAAUUACUGAAAAGGUGGUUUAGUAGAUAGAAUGGAUGAAUAGUCAAGAAAAAUAAUUAUCAUCCAUAGUAUAGGAGUUGGUAUCUCGGGGUAGUAUAAAGAGGAUGGAAGAGAGGAAGAAAAUACCAAACUGUGAUAGUACCGAGCAGGGAUAAGCUUGGUGCUAUCUCUUCUUCUUAAUUUUCUUGUUUUUUUUGUGUUAGUGUUGAUUC